rnacentral:rRNA from 1 species
CUACGGGUCGCUCCAGUGAGGAAUUUUGCGCAAUGGGGGAAACCCUGACGCAGCAACGCCGCGUGAGUGAAGAAGGCCCUUGGGUCGUAAAGCUCUGUCAAUGGGGAAGAAGUUACCUGGUAUUAAUAGUGCCUGGUAUUGACGGUACCCAUGAAGGAAGCACCGGCUAACUCCGUGCCAGCAGCCGCGGUAAUACGGGGGGGUGCAAGCGUUAUUCGGAAUUAUUGGGCGUAAAGGGCACGCAGGCGGUCCUGUCAGUCAGAUGUGAAAGCCCGGGGCUCAACCCCGGACGUGCAUUUGAAACAGCAGGACUUGAGUACGGGAGAGGAAAGGGGAAUUCCUGGUGUAGAGGUGAAAUUCGUAGAUAUCAGGAGGAACCCCGGUGGCGAAGGCGCCUUUCUGGACCGAUACUGACGCUGAGGUGCGAAGGCGUGGGUAGCGAACGGGAUUAGAUACCCCUGUAGUC